UCCUAGCCUUUUAAUUGGAGGCCUGCAUGAAUGGCUUGACGAGCGCCCUGCUGUCUCUCUUCCCAUGAACUUUUAAAUUAACUUUCGCGUGCAAAGGCGCGAAUGGCUGAGUUAGACGAAAAGACCCUAUGCAUCUUUACUGAGAGAGAAGAAAGUUCUUUAGCUUGGUUUAGCUGGGGCAGCUGAGGAAAAGGCAAAAUUUCCUUAAUAUAAGUUAUACUGGUGGGUUUAGAUCCAGGCUCUUUAGCGGGCUUGACAAGUAGAAAAGUUACGCUAGGGAUAACAGCGUUAUCCUUCUGUGGAGGUCUUAUCUGCAGGAGGGAUUGCGACCUCGAUGUUGAAUUAGGGAUAUACCAGAAAGGCGCAGAAGCUUUUAUUGUGGGU
rnacentral:rRNA from 1 species